AAAAUCUGUGAAAGGGGAACACUGAUGA
rnacentral:sRNA from 1 species